UACGGGGGGAGCAAGCGUUGUUCGGAUUUACUGGGCGUAAAGGGCGCGUAGGUGGUUCUGUAUGUCUACCGUGAAAGCAUACGGCUCAACUGUAUUUUGUCGGUAGAAACUGCAGGACUUGAGGCUGGGAGGGGCUGGUGGAAUUCCCUGUGUAGCGGUGAAAUGCGUAGAGAUGGGGGAGAACACUCGUGGCGAAGGCGGCCAGCUAGACCAGUUCUGACACUGAGGCGCGACAGCGUGGGGAGCAAACAGG
rnacentral:rRNA from 1 species